UGAACGCUAGCUACAGGCUUAACACAUGCAAGUCGAGGGGCAGCAUGGUCUUAGCUUGCUAAGGCCGAUGGCGACCGGCGCACGGGUGAGUAACACGUAUCCAACCUGCCGUCUACUCUUGGACAGCCUUCUGAAAGGAAGAUUAAUACAAGAUGGCAUCAUGAGUCCGCAUGUUCACAUGAUUAAAGGUAUUCCGGUAGACGAUGGGGAUGCGUUCCAUUAGAUAGUAGGCGGGGUAACGGCCCACCUAGUCUUCGAUGGAUAGGGGUUCUGAGAGGAAGGUCCCCCACAUUGGAACUGAGACACGGUCCAAACUCCUACGGGAGGCAGCAGUGAGGAAUAUUGGUCAAUGGGCGAGAGCCUGAACCAGUCAAGUAGCGUGAAGGAUGACUGCCCUAUGGGUUGUAAACUUCUUUUAUAAAGGAAUAAAGUCGGGUAUGGAUACCCGUUUGCAUGUACUUUAUGAAUAAGGAUCGGCUAACUCCGUGCCAGCAGCCGCGGUAAUACGGAGGAUCCGAGCGUUAUCCGGAUUUAUUGGGUUUAAAGGGAGCGUAGAUGGAUGUUUAAGUCAGUUGUGAAAGUUUGCGGCUCAACCGUAAAAUUGCAGUUGAUACUGGAUAUCUUGAGUGCAGUUGAGGCAGGCGGAAUUCGUGGUGUAGCGGUGAAAUGCUUAGAUAUCACGAAGAACUCCGAUUGCGAAGGCAGCCUGCUAAGCUGCAACUGACAUUGAGGCUCGAAAGUGUGGGUAUCAAACAGGAUUAGAUACCCUGGUAGUCCACACGGUAAACGAUGAAUACUCGCUGUUUGCGAUAUACUGCAAGCGGCCAAGCGAAAGCGUUAAGUAUUCCACCUGGGGAGUACGCCGGCAACGGUGAAACUCAAAGGAAUUGACGGGGGCCCGCACAAGCGGAGGAACAUGUGGUUUAAUUCGAUGAUACGCGAGGAACCUUACCCGGGCUUAAAUUGCAGAUGAAUUACGGUGAAAGCCGUAAGCCGCAAGGCAUCUGUGAAGGUGCUGCAUGGUUGUCGUCAGCUCGUGCCGUGAGGUGUCGGCUUAAGUGCCAUAACGAGCGCAACCCUUGUUGUCAGUUACUAACAGGUUCCGCUGAGGACUCUGACAAGACUGCCAUCGUAAGAUGUGAGGAAGGUGGGGAUGACGUCAAAUCAGCACGGCCCUUACGUCCGGGGCUACACACGUGUUACAAUGGGGGGUACAGAGGGCCGCUACCACGCGAGUGGAUGCCAAUCCCCAAAACCUCUCUCAGUUCGGACUGGAGUCUGCAACCCGACUCCACGAAGCUGGAUUCGCUAGUAAUCGCGCAUCAGCCACGGCGCGGUGAAUACGUUCCCGGGCCUUGUACACACCGCCCGUCAAGCCAUGGGAGCCGGGGGUACCUGAAGUGCGUAACCGCGAGGAGCGCCCUAGGGUAAAACUGGUGACUGGGGCUAAG
rnacentral:rRNA from 1 species